GUGUCAGCCGCCGCGGUAAUACGUAGGGGGCAAGCGUUAUCCGGAAUUACUGGGUGUAAAGGGUGCGUAGGCGGUAAUGUAAGUCAGGUGUGAAAGCCCGAAGCUCAACUUCGGGAUUGCACUUGAAACUACAUAACUAGAGUACAGGAGAGGUGAGUGGAAUUCCUAGUGUAGCGGUGAAAUGCGUAGAUAUUAGGAGGAACACCAGUGGCGAAGGCGACUCACUGGACUGUAACUGACGCUGAGGCACGAAAGCGUGGGGAGCGAACAGGAUUAGAUACCCUCGUAGUCC
rnacentral:rRNA from 1 species